CAAGGGCAGUCUUUCCCAGUCCUCCCAUUCCAACAAUGGAAACAAUUGCAAUAUCCUCUGUGAUGUUGGAAUUUAAUAGAAGAUCUAUGACUACUUCCUUGUCAUCAUUCCUACCGAUCACUUCCUCUUCAAGUAUGUAAGAGUUUCGUAGGAGGACUCGUCCACCAGGUCAUCAAUCUCGUACAAAGCAUCCUUAAGCCUUGAAACCCAAGCCUUGACAGCAAGGCUCUUGGACUGCUGCUCCUCCGCAUCGAGAAGCACAGCUUGAAUGGCAGAAAGCGAGUGUUUGAGUUUGUCGAGUUCAUCAUUGACACCCCACAACAACCCAAGCUCCUGUAGUGCGGAAGAGCCCAAUUUGAAUAUGAUGUCUGCAGUAACGUUGUAGAGAAUAGCUUCAGCCAUGGUGGAUGAAAAAGGAGCAAAAUUUUGGAGGAAGGGUAGCAACUUAGAUCAGGUUGAUAAACAAGUAGGAAGAUGGCUGAAGCUCCAAACUUGAUUCCAUUAACAUGGCUUAUACCAAACACAAGCUUUGCCAUUAACUUUUAUAGAUGAUCUUGGUCUAUGCACUCAAAUAAUAAUAUAAUGUUAGUACUA